GACGAACCGAGCGAACGUUGUUCGGAAUCACUGGGCUUAAAGGGCGCGUAGGCGGGCUGCCAAGUCUGUGGUGAAAUCCUCCAGCUUAACUGGAGAACGGCCGUGGAUACUGGCGGUCUCGAGGAAGGUAGGGGCAAGCGGAACUGUGCGUGGAGCGGUGAAAUGCGUUGAUAUGCACAGGAACUCCGGUGGCGAAGGCGGCUUGCUGGACCUUUUCUGACGCUGAGGCGCGAAAGCUAGGGGAGCGAACGGG
rnacentral:rRNA from 2 species